GAAUCAGCAUUUAGCGUUGGAGGACGGGUGAUUAGUCCUUACAGAAACCGUCUUCUUCCAAAAAAUGUUCAAGCACUGCUUUGCACUCGAAACUGGUUAAGAGGUUUUGCUGAAUUUGAAGGUGAUGUUGAAGAUUAUUUUGAUGAAGACAACUUAGACAAGGAUCCAACAACCACAGCAAGUAGUUCUGCAAUAUGAGGUAGCAACUAGCAUCCAUAAGAAGUCAUCCACCAGGUUCUUCAAACAGUGGAGAUCUAUUUCAGAAGGCUACCUUGAUCUUAUGUGAUGAUCUAUAUGAAAUGUCUUGGGUGAUUUUGAGUCUGUUUCUUUGAGCUGAUACUAUGUUUCUGAGUCUGUUUGAUACUAUGUUUCUGAGUCUGUUUCUUUAAGAUGAUACUAUGUUUCUGAAUCUG